GAGAUGCUCUAGUUCUAACAGGUUGAGAUGGAUCAUCUAAAAUUAAUUCCUUAGGAUGCCUAUGAGCAUACCUCCAAGCCUUAGUCAGCUCAUGAUCCACAAUUGCCUCUUGGCUUGUUGAUGCAUCUCCAAUUAGCUUUGGUUCAUCUUCUUGUAAUGUCAUCUCAUCACUUUUUUCUUCAAGAAUUUCUGCAUCAUCAUCAAGAGCUACUUUCUUGCUAGAAGAGACAUCAUUAGUAUCAUCAAAAACAACAUGUAUAGACUCUUCAAUAACAAGGUUUCUUUUGUUAAAUACUCUAUAAGCUUUACUUGAUGUAGAAUAUCCCAAAAAGAUACCUUCAUCAGAUUUAGAGUCAAAUUUACCUAAGUUAUCCUU
rnacentral:lncRNA from 1 species